rnacentral:rRNA from 1 species
UACGAAGGGUGCAAGCGUUACUCGGAAUUACUGGGCGUAAAGGGUGCGUAGGCGGUUGUUUAAGUCUGUCGUGAAAUCCCCGGGCUCAACCUGGGAAUGGCAUUUGGGACUGCAAGGCUGGAGUGCGGCAGAGGAGACUGGAAUUCCUGGUGUAGCAGUGAAAUGCGUAGAUAUCAGGAGGAAUACCGAUGGCGAAGGCAGGUCUCUGGGCUGACACUGACGCUCAUGCACGAAAGCGUGGGGAGCAAACAGG